AUGUUCUAGUACAAUAAU
rnacentral:misc_RNA from 1 species